rnacentral:rRNA from 1 species
CACGCAGGUGGCUGAGUCAGUCGAUUGUGAAAGCCCUGGGCUUAACCUGGGAAUUGCAGUCGAUACUACUCAGCUAGAGUAUGGGAGAGGGCAGUGGAAUUCCCGGUGUAGCGGUGAAAUGCGUAGAUAUCGGGAGGAACAUCAGUGGCGAAGGCGGCUGCCUGGCCCAAUACUGACACUCAGGUGCGAAAGCCAGGGGAGCAAACG